rnacentral:rRNA from 1 species
GACAGAGGGGGGCAAGCGUUGCUCGGAAUUACUGGGCGUAAAGGGCGCGUAGGCGGAAUGGCAAGUCGGUCGUGAAAUCCUUCGGCUCAACCGAAGAACGUCGAUCGAAACUGCCGUUCUUGAGGAUUGCAGAGGAGACUGGAAUUCCCGGUGUAGCGGUGAAAUGUGUAGAGAUCGGGAGGAACACCGGUGGCGAAGGCGGGUCUCUGGGCAAUUCCUGACGCUGAGGCGCGAAAGCGUGGGGAGCAAACGGG